rnacentral:miRNA from 1 species
UGACACUUUUAAGAUCGGUCAUAGAAUAACCGAUCUUAAAAGUACUUUUAAGAUCGGUUAUUUUAUGACUGAUUUUAAAAGUGCUA